CCCCAAAUUUCUAAUCUUUAAACAGUUUCAGGAAUUAAAUGCCCAAAUCCCCCAAAUUUGUACUCUUUGCUUCAACAAUUUGAAGAGUAAACAACUCUAAAUCUACUUGAUAAUGAAUAAGAAAGGUAUCUAUUGGGAGAUUUUGGUAUGUGUUGCUUGAGUGAAGGGAAGUAGACAAAGGGAGCUUUUUGAUAAUCUUGAAAAUGGGGUUCAUGAGUGGAAGGAGAAUGUGGGUCAUUUUGGAUAAAGGUUUAGCGGUCGGGCAUAUACACCAGAAGAUCCAUUUUAUGACCAAGCAAAUCUAGGAACUU